rnacentral:lncRNA from 1 species
CAGAAAUUCACAGAUGCAACAUCUCCACGCUUUAAGCUGUGUGAUUCAGGUGUCUUUGCUCCCCUAACAAAUGCUUAGUGAGCACAAACUGUUCAGAGGAGCACAAGGAGAUGUUUUGGUGUGUGCACAGCAGGAACCCACCCAGAACUCCCACACAAAUCCGUGGCUUGGAGGGAGAAAAGGGGAGCAAGAACAGAUCAAAGGAAGUGGAACCAUUUCAGAAUCAGGAUCACAGAAUCAUUGAUGUUGGAAAAGCUGGCCCAUGGAGUCCCAGCUGUGCCCAACCCCCAGCCCAGGGCACUGAGUGCCACUUCCAGGAAUUCCUGGGACACCUGCAGGGAUGGGCACUCCAACCCUCCCUGGGCAGCUCCUGUCACGGUUUACAACCCUUUCCAUGGGGAAAUUCCUGCUGAUGUCUGACCUGAGCCUCCCCUGGGCCAGCCUGAGGCUCUGACCUGCCUUGCCACAAACAGAGCUCAUGUGGCAUCCACGGUUUGAGAGGAGGUUUUGGACAAGGGACCAAACUUUGGCACCUGGCUCAGGAAAUGGAAGGUGGCUGAUAAAACAUCUCUCAGACACCCUGCAGCAGGAAUUCCCAGAGGGAGGGAGAUUCCCUGGCUGUCCUGGGCUCUGGAUGAGCUCAGCAGCCCUGCCCAGCUCUGGGAUCCGGCACAGACAGGAUGGUUCUGCCUUUGGGGGAAGCAGAGGGAAUCUCUGCAGGGUGCAGUCCCGGGGGAGAACCCCUCAGGGGUUUGUAAAACAAACAUGUGGGAUAUUCUGAAAUAUCCCACUGUUCUCUGCCAGGAAUAUCAGUCUCUGUAUCAAAGACAUUCCCUAAGUUCUUCUGGCUCAGCAGGUGAAAAUAUCCCAAAAAAAGUAAGAUCUGAAGAGUCAGCAGGGGUGGAAAUCCUUGGUGGAAGCCCACAGGCAACAUCCUUCUCUGGUCAUCAGCGUUGCUACUUCUUCUGGAAGAACCUCAGAAAGAACAACAAAAAACGUGGAGGAUCCUUUUUAGGUUUAUUCACUUGUCUGCUGUUACUUGCUGCAAAAACUGGGUGCAGUUCUGGGCUGCACAGUAUGAGAAGAAUAAAAAGCUGUUAGAGAGCAUCCAAAGGAUGGGUAAGAGCUGAGCCCCAGAAAUUGUGAACUCUUGGGUUUAAAACACUCAAAAUCUUGGCACCAAAAUUCACCAGCUCCUUCUCCACUUUUUCCCAUAGGAACCCUGGCAAGAACCUGCUGGGCUCUGAAGUUCACAGCCAGCUGUUUCUGUGUGUGAAGCUCCCAGUGAAAGCCACGAGGUAUUAAAGGCACUUUGGGGAAAUCCAGGGAAACAUUUGGAUGGAGGCGCGAGUUCCGCCUGUGCCCACGCCUCAGCUGCCGGCAGGGAG